rnacentral:rRNA from 1 species
AUACGGAGGGUGCAAGCGUUACUCGGAAUCACUGGGCGUAAAGCGCGCGCAGGCGGCUAUUUAAGUUGGAUGUGAAAGCCUACGGCUCAACCGUAGAACUGCACCCAAAACUAUUUAGCUAGAGUGUGGGAGAGGAAGAUGGAAUUAGUUGUGUAGGGGUAAAAUCCGUAGAGAUAACUAGGAAUACCAAAAGCGAAGGCAAUCUUCUGGAACACUACUGACGCUGAGGCGCGAAAGCGUGGGGAGCAAACAGGAUUAGAUACCCUAGUAGUCC